GAUGAAGAACGUAGCGAAAUGCGAUACGUAAUGUGAAUUGCAGAAUUCAGUGAAUCAUCGAAUCUUUGAACGCAUAUUGCGCUCUCUGGUAUUCCGGAGAGCAUGCUUGUUUGAGUAUCAGUAAACACCUCAACUUCCAUAUCUUUUUUGAAAUGGGAGUUGGACUUGAGUGAUCCCAACGCUUUUCCUCACCGAAAAGUGGCGGGUUACUUGAAAUGCAGGUGCAGCUGGACUUUUCUCUGAGCUAUAAGCAUAUCUAUUUAGUCUGCCUAAAAAACAGAUUAUUACCUUUGCUGCAGCUAACAUGAAGGAGAUUAGUUCUUGUGCUGACUGAUGCAGGAUUCACAAAGACGGCUUCGGCCGACUUUGUAAACUCGAUCUCAAAUCAAGUAAGACUACCCGCUGAACUUAAGCAUAUCAAUAAGCGGAGGA
rnacentral:misc_RNA from 1 species